ACAAGCGGUGGAGCAUGUGGUUUAAUUCGAAGCAACGCGAAGAACCUUACCAACGACUUGACAUCCCCUGACAGCUGUUGAAAGGCAGUGUCUCUUCGGAGCAGGGAGACAGGUGGUGCAUGGUUGUCGUCAGCUCGUGUCGUGAGAUGUUGGGUUAAGUCCCGCAACGAGCGCAACCCUUAUCCUUAGUUACCAGCACGUAAAGGUGGGGACUCUAGGGAGACCGCCGGGGACGACCCGGAGGAAGGUGGGGACGACGUCAAAUCAUCAUGCCCCUUAUGUCUUGGGCUACACACGUGCUACAAUGGCCGCAACAGAGGGAAGCGAGAGCGCAAGCUGGAGCAAAACCCUAAAAAGCGGUCCCAGUUCGGAUUGUGGGCUGCAACCCGCCCACAUGAAGUCGGAGUUGCUAGUAAUCGCGAAUCAGCAUAUCGCGGUGAAUGCGUUCCCGGGCCUU
rnacentral:rRNA from 1 species